AGGAGAUAUAAACAUGUUGCAAAACAAACUCCUGGGGCUCUGCCUAGUUUUGGGGAGGGACAAAAUGCGAGGGAACAGGAGGACUGAACAGAAAACAGUCCACAUGGAGAGGGCAUUUGGAAUAGUUGAAUGAAUGGCAUAUGAGCAAGUUUGAAAGUUGACAGAGGAAUUGAGCAAUGCGUGUUCUGCAAGUUAUUCUUUUAAAAUAUUGAUUCAGUUGGUUUUAGGGUAACGUAUGAUGUAGCGUGUCUAGCCAGCUACAGUAGUUGAAGACUUUGAACAGAACACGAGACAGUGGGACAGUGAGCGCUUUAGCUCGCAACACCUCAGUGAACUGCCAGCUUUGCUUAGACUAGCAAGAACACUUCUCUUUCAGUUUAUCUUUACUCUUCUUUACGCUGUCGUGGAAUUUGUCUUACAUUUCACAGAUAAGCUUGUUGCUAACGGUUUGAUUCCUGUCAAGUUGAACUUGUGGUUGUUGGACAUGUUUUUCAAUAACAGCUAGCUAGCUAAUGUUAGUCAGCCAUCAUUAAUUUGUAUUUUUCAACGUUGGACGGACUGAAUGUUCACCUUUGGAAUACUUAACGUUACUGUCAGAAAACAGCAACAAGACAACAUCAACGUUGUAUUUUAAACGAGACAAUAUGCAAAAGUUCAACUCGACACACACUAGUACUCUUCCUCGGGACGCUGAGCUUCAGCAGCGUUUAUCCGACAACGGGGGAGCCGGGGAGGCGAUGAAGGAAAACGGCUCUGGGAAGAAUCACAUCCUUGCAGAACCUGCAGACACUUCACUCUGUACCAAGAGAAAGAUGCUGGUCGGCUUGGAUGUUUUCUGUCUGUUUGUAGCCUCCAUCCCGUUCUUUGCGUGUGAGUUGAAGGCGGUGACUCCGUACCGGAGGGGUUUCUUCUGUGGGGACCAGAGCAUCACCUACCCCUUCCUGGAGAGAGAGGCCAUCCCUGACGCACUGCUCAUCGCUGGGGGCAUCGUCAUCACUGGCCUCACGAUUGCGCUGGGCGAGUGUUACCGGGUUCGAUUCGUGAGGUGCAAUCACGGGCCUUUGUGCGCAACCUCUACGUGUCCUGCCUCUAUAAGGAGCUGGGAAGCUUCCUGUUCGGCUGCUGCGUGGGCCAAUCAUUGACCAACAUGGCCAAGCUGAGUGUGGGGCGCCUGCGACCUAACUUCCUGUCGGUGUGCAACGUGACAUACGCCUCGCUCAACUGCGUCCCCGGCUCCUACGUGGCCCAGGUCACCUGCAGGCAGCCCAAACACAAGAUGGUGGAGGAGGCCAGGAAGUCCUUUUUCUCUGGCCAUUCCUCUUUUGCCAUGUACACCAUGCUCUACCUGGCGUUCUACCUGCAGGCGCGGUUGUCAUGGCGAGGGGCUCGUCUGCUGCGCCCGCUACUACAGUUCCUGCUGGUGAUGAUAGCCGUGUACACCGGGCUGAGCCGCAUCUCUGACUACCGCCACCACCCCACCGACGUGAUCACCGGCUUCAUCCAGGGAGGCCUCACCGCCUACUGGGUGGCCUUCUAUAUUUCCGCCAUGUUUAAGAACAACCGUCCAGAACUGUCUCCCACCAGCAUGUCUCUGGAGAGCCCCCUGUCCAGCCAACAGACCGUCUGCUAGCACCAUCUGCCCCAACACACCCCUCCUCACCUACCUGGACGGAUGGGAGAAAAGACAGAAAGAGAGAGAGAGGGAGAGACAGUCAGAUAGCAGAGGCGUGCAGCACAUGGAGGGACAGGGAGGGAGACAAGGUGUGUGAAAAGGAAGGGGGAUGAGAUAAGGUACCUAGAGCAGGUAAAGAGCUUUCUAGCAAGUACACACAUGCUCUGAUGAAUACAUCAAGACACGCACGCACAUGUAGUGCCACCUCUCUCUCUCUCACUAACACACACUACCAUCUAACACACACACACACACACCAAAUCACUGUAGAGUACAACCCGUCCACAUGGAGAUAUGCAUAGUCAUUUUACAGAUAUUUUGUAUAUGAAAAAUGACAAAUGUUUCUAUUUUUCAAACGAGAGUCGUAGAUGAAGCUGCUAAUGAUAAUGAUUUUUUUCCUGUUCUAAGUUGAAUAUGUUUUAUAUGUGAUGGUGGUUAGUGGGCAGUGCAUUAGGUUAGCUCUCAAACACACGGUCAGUCAGUGUCUCUAAAUGAUUUUCAUUGGUCAUUUGACCAGCCUGGAUGAUGACAUCAUCAGCUGGACUCCACUUCUUCAGCUUGACGUCCCCUGACUCUAAUUCUGUGGAUGUCUCAUUGACGUCCCCUGACUCUAAUUCUGUGGAUGUCUCAUUGACGUCCCCUGACUCUAAUUCUGUGGAUGUCUCAUUGACGCCCCCUGACUCUAAUUCUGUGGAUGUCUCAUUGACGUCCCCUGACUCUAAUUCUGUGGAUGUCUCAUUGAUGCCCCCUGACUCUAAUUCUGUGGAUGCCUCAUUGACGUCCCCUGACUCUAAUUCUGUGGAUGUCUCAUUGACGUCCCCUGACUCUAAUUCUGUGGAUGUCUCAUUGACGUCCCCUGACUCUAAUUCUGUGGAUGUCUCAUUGACGUCCCCUGACUCUAAUUCUGUGGAUGUCUCAUUGACGCCCCCUGACUCUAAUUCUGUGGAUGUCUCAUUGACGCCCCCUGACUCUAAUUCUGUGGAUGUCUCAUUGACGCCCCCUGACUCUAAUUCUGUGGAUGUCUCAUUGACGUCCCCUGACUCUAAUUCUGUGGAUGCCUCUCCAUCCUUCACCUUCUAACUACACAGCAACUAGUAGAGGAUGUCAUGGACAACGACAAAAGAGAACACUUUGUAUUCAACCAAGUAUCUUAACUUCAGUUACCCAGGAGUGAUAGGGUGGAAAUCUGCUUUGCCCAGGUUACGUCCCCUCCCCCCCACUCCCACGCUUUUCCAUGUCUGUACUCUGUACUAACCACUUAUUACUCUGUCUCAGAGGCGGAGCUAUGACUGAACCCUGUAACCUUUGACCUAUUACCCUGACCUCUGAGCUGCACCUUGAGUUCUGCCACUCUCACAGGGGAGCCAAAAUGGCUGCCUCGUGUUGCCUAUGGCAGAGGUCCCCUGUAUAUUCCUAUUAAUAGCACUUGAACUACAUACUGGAACCUACUCUGAUAGUAUAAUUGAUAUUAUAUAUAUUUUCUCAAGUUUGAAUAAUCAGUGUUUUAUUUCUCUUAAUAUGUCACUCUCAUACGGUAUAUGUUUUAGUUUUUUUCCAAAUGAUAAUUAUUCAAAUUGAAUGUAAAUAGAUAUGUCUUUUUUAUAAACCACACAGAAUUUCAAAAGUAUUAUUAGUGCCAUUUUUGGACAGUUUUUUUCACGUUUAUGUGUUAUGUGUCUGUGUUGUUGAUCAGGUACGCAGAGUUGUUGUUAUUGUCAUAACGACUAGACUGAGCCAGAGCUAUUAUCAGAAAGCUAUUUCUUGUUUCCAGUUUUUCGUUUUUCCCCCUGUGAAUGCCAGAAUGGCUGAAAAUAACCACUGUACUCAAAAAACCAAACCAAUAAAAUGAAUGUUGAAUCUUU